GAUGAACGCUGACAGCAUGCUUAACACAUCAGCCAUUGAUUGGUGGCGGACGGGUGAGUAACGCGUAAAGAACUUACCUCACAGCUAGGGACAACAUUUGGAAACGAAUGCUAAUACCUAAUCCUGUGAGAGAGCUUUGCGUCCCAUUAGCUAGUUGGAGAGGUAACGGCUCACCACGGCGAGGAUGGGUAUCCGGCCUGAGAGGGUGAUCGGCCACAAGGGGACGGGGAAACUGCCAGUACGCAUACGGGAGGAAGCAGUGGGGAAGAUGGGAAAAUGGACCAAAGUCUGAUGCAGCAAUUCGGGGUGUAAGAUGAAGCUUUCGGAAUGAAGAGUGCUUUCAGGUUGGAAGCGGUACCAACAGAAGAAGUGACGGCUAAAUACGUGCCAGCAGCCGCGGUAAUAC
rnacentral:rRNA from 1 species